AAUGUCUCAGUCUGUGCCUACAGUGAAUUUAGAAAAUAUUUUAAAUAUUUUUUCAUUAUUUGAAAGUAAUCUGUUUCGAAGAACUUCCAUGCUUCGUUUUAGUAUGAACACUCUUCUUGAAGUACAGCAGACAGAAACAGAAGAUGACAUCUAAAUUUGAUGUCAACUACCAUUCAUUAAAAGUGAAAACUUUUAAGGAGUCUGAAAGUGAAGAUGAACUUCAAAUUCAGCUUAAAAACAUCUUCAGAUAAAGCUGUGCUCUAAAAAGUAGUGGAAAUUAUUUAUGUUCAUCAAAUUACUUGCAUCCAAACCACGAUGCUUGACCUAAGUUACUAUCUGUGAGUUAAGUUCUGAAAUUAUUUCCUUUAUAGUCUAUUUCUAGUUUGAAACCUGAUAGAAGAUAUGCUAGUACUCGAGAGAUGCUGUGUUUGACUGAAAAUCCUGGGAAAUAAAUUGAAAAAUGUCCAUCAGUACAUAUGUAGUGUAGUGUGUGUUCUAUAAUUUUGCCACCAGAAUACUUUAUGGAAGACUCUUAAUCCUCAGGUUUUCCAAGUCAUGUAUUUGUUAUGAUGAAUGCACAUAGCCAGAACUUAAAGGGAUCCAUAAAUGUUGUAUUUUGGACACUUUCAUUAGCUUGCUUUCUUGGGAGUGUUGUAACUGCUAUGUAGAACAGUCUGUAUGAGUUGUUUUAUUGCACAAGUAAUCCUACAGGUUUUGUGUCAUUUUUAAUGUUUGUAUCAGCAGAGAAGGAACUGUCAGUACAGGAAUACUGGAGAAAAACCUGGACAUUUGGGUGAAAAUAAGGUCAUCUUAGUUCGUCUUUGUAGCUUAUAUUUUUGAAUUUUGAUAUUAUUAGCAGCUUUUUCUGACAAAUGUGAUGACAGCCAUGUGUUUUCUGACAAAACACAUGGCUGUCAUCCUGCUAUGUACCCACGUAAAGACAGAGUUGAAAUUCUUUAGGAGCUGUGUGAUGCCAACAGGAUUGGGCUCCCCCCAAUCUCCUUGCUGCAGCACCAUGUGAUGUCAGCCUGCUGUUAGAUUUCUGCCAACCUUUAAGAAAACAUUCUUUAUUUUGCUGCAUGUUUAAGAAGUUCUUGUGAUCGAAAUAACUGUAGUUACCAAAUAGUGAAGCAGCCACAGUUAAUCAUUAGUCCACCAUCAAUUAGGAAGGGAAGUGCUGGUUAUGCUGAGUCCUAUAUCCACAAAUAUCCAGUCAUAUUUUAAAGCUGCUUUUGCAGCUUCACUGCAGUUUCUGUCUAACACUAGAGCUACAUACAAGAGUUGAGUUCACAUGCAGCACUCCUUGAGAUGAUUAUUUUAAUGUGGCUGCAAUCAAUGUUUUUUUUUCCAUAUUUAAUUGGAGUUUGUUUGGGGAUUCUUUCAGGAAUGUAGAAAUAUGCCUUAAGGGACAAACUUGGCCUAUGGAUUAUUAGACUAAACAAAUUUUAAGCACAAAAUUUAUCUGCAAUUAACUUGACUGCUUGUAAUGAAAAGAUGGCUGAAACCACAGCCUUGUGAUUUGAUGCCUAUGGUACACAGUGUGCAAGGUAAAGCAUAAGUUCUAAAUAAAAUCAUUUUGCAAGCAGGUAUCUUCAAAUUAGUUAAUAGCUCAUAGUGCUUUCCAAAAAUAUCUUUAAAGCCAUCCCAGACUGCAUUUGUGAAAGAGGCAUUUGCAUGUUUGUGCUUUUUGUUGUGUGUUUUAUUUAGUUGAUUUUUUAAUGAAAAAAGCUUAUUUACUUGUCAGUUUUUAAUGCUUUGGCAUUUUUUACUGCAUUGUUACUCUGGAUUUAAACCAAUUAGUUGUGUUACUUAAAUCAAUUAGAUGUAUGUAGAUCUAUUAGAUAGUACUGCACAUUCGUGCUCUUCUCUGCUUGGGGCUGUGUCUUGGACGUUGGUGCAUUUGUGGUUGAGAACAAUCAGCUGAAAAGCCUUUUGUUUAUUUUGCCAGAUAGAGGGCAAGUGACCCUGAGAAGUUUGGUGGUGAUACAUAUUUUACUUGCUUGGUUUUCAGUUCUGAGUAUGAAUGGGUAAAAGUUUUCGAGCCACUAAUCCAGUAAAUACAAUAGUCAGGACUCCUUAAGAGUAGUCUCAGUAUUGAAUCCAUGUCCUACUCAUAUGGAAGCAAAGACAAGAUGCAAGGGAUGUGGUUUAAUUAGACCUCAAUUUUAUUAGCGUAGCCAUCUGGGAUUUACUGGCAUAAAUUUGUACAGUGGAGGUCAAGAUCCUUUCUUUAAUCAUUUCCUUCUGGGGUAAGUUGCUAUCAGUGCCCCAUUCCCACACAGCUGGUCCCCAGCCUGUUACUGGGACUCCACUCUGUGUGCUUUUAAUCCAAAUGAUAAGGGGUCUGGAAGAGAGAUUGUCUCUUUGGUGUAGUUCAGGCAUUAACCCCAAAGAUAAUCCUUCGCUUUUUUAAGAGUCACUUUCUCCUAACUUAGUUAUCCAUUUCAGACUUUUAAAGCCAGCACGAAGAUGAUGUUUAAAGGAAGGAUAGAGUUCAUGUUCCUGAUUUCUGCAGUUGUGGUAGAAGGCAUAGAGCUAGGAUCAGUUUGCUUAUUAAUUCAUGUUAUUGCCUCCAAAGGGAUAUUAGUUCCUUUUCUUUUUCUGACUUCUGUUAAGCUCUACUUCUGUGUGUCCAGGUUCUGUGGCAAUUUUUUUUUUCCCCACUUUUUGGGCACUAAAGAAAAUAUUGCUUGAGCUAUCUCAGUACAAGUUUAGCCUUAUGCUUUACUUUGAGUAAAGUAUUUGUUUUAGUGAAAAAUACUACUUAAUUUAUGUUAUUUCUGUAUACAACCCCUAUUUUUAAGUAAUAUCCAAAUACCUGAGCAGAUGUUCAGGGAGCAGAAUAUACCUACCUGAGAGGGAGAAGCCUGUGUAGAUCAUCAUUUUCUAUUCUACUGGUUUGUGACUUCAUUUCUAGAAGAAUGAUCCUUCCCAACAAUCUUGCUCAAUUAACUGUGCCUUACCCAUGAAAUCUGAGAAGAUCUCAUUGUUCAACAGGAAGUUCUUUUUCAUAUACCUGGAUGCAAUGGACAUUUCUUAGGCAUAUUUUAUUCAAAUAAAUAAAGAAAUUGUGAUCAAUGGAAUGCACUAAUAAUUAAUUAAUUGCACAUGCUUUCUCUAGCUCUUAAAAUUGCAAGGAUUGAAAUGAUCCAAAUAAAAAGUAAUUUUUCACUUCUGAAUUUGAAUAAUUUGCUCCAUAAUAUUAAUAUCUAAAACCUGUUUGAAUCAAAUGCCCUUUCAUUCACUGUUGAAAAAAUAGUUAAUGUUGACUGUCAGAAGCUAUGGAGUUUACAUCUGUACAUCAUAAAUUUCACUAUCAUCUGCUCCUUUUUCUACUUAAAAAGAAAAAAAGAAGUCCCCUGCUUAAAAAAGAAAGGAAAAAAAAAGGGCCUUUGAAGGCAUCAGACCCUUUUGUUUGAUGUGUGGAACAAGAUUAAUAAAAACGUGCCACUACAUUAGCUUUUAAAUAACUAGCAUGAGACAGUGCUGCUGUCUAUACUCACCACAACUUUAAUUUAUGUAGAUAACAUGUUUGAGACACAUGAUAGUUUUAGCUUUGAGUUAGGCCUGUUUCUUGGGGAAGAUCUCAGAUUUGUGACUGUGUUUAUCUUUUGUGCAAGGACAAUUAACUGGGUAAUGCCAAAACACAAUAGCAUUUGAUAUUUUGAAGAAUAAAAGGAAAAUAUUUCACGUAUCCAGCUGGUUUACAGAUGUGUAAGCUUUGUAGUCCAUUCCCUUGCUCCAGCAUGGCAUUGUGACCGUAUGUCCAAUACGUCUAAAACUGAUAAAUACUGGAAGAGAAAAUGCCUUUUCAAAUGUUAAGGAUUUUUUUUAUUUUAUAAUAAUUUAUAUUAAUACUAAUCAUCAUCAAAUCUUGUAGUUGUAAUUUUAGAAUUUUAAGAAUGUCUACAUAAAUAUUAAAUUAUUUUCAUGUAGUUGACACACCUGCAGCAUGUUUGAGUCCAGGCCUUCAGGUGUUAAAAGUUGCUAAGACCCUUUUAUUAGCAGAAUUGGAUAUGUUUAAACUAUAAGAGAGAAUUAAUAAAAAUUAUAUUCUGCUGGCACCAAAUACUUGAGAUGAUGGAAAAGUAAAUGGAGAACAAAUAAUCUCUUAAAGUGUAGGAUGGAAGUUUUUUCUGUCAUGUCCUGUUUUAUACAAUAAUGAAAGAUGUUGAUGUAUUAUUUAAAGCUGCUGUAUCUUAAUGUUUAUCUACCUACAUUCUGUAAUGUCAAUUAUAGAAGAAGAAAUUAAUUUGGGCAUUACACACUAAAUCUGCCACAUUUUUGGAAUUGAAAAAGCUAUUGUAGAAAGCUGAUUUGCAAAAUGAGUUCAACUUUUCAAAAGCUCAUGAUAUAUUUCUUUUUAAAUUUGAAGCCUAAACGUUUGGGACAGUGUGGAAAUUAUCAAGUUUGUAAACAACUGAUUGAGAAAAGCAGUUCUCUCUUAGCAAUAGAAUGUAAAUUUCUCCAGUUUCAAGAGAUAUUUGGAAUUUGGUCAUUUCUCUACUUUUAACUCAUAAACCAGUGUAAAUGGAAAAAAAAUAUGCACAGUUCUUGAUUUUCAGUCAAUACUGAGUGCAUGAAAACGAACCACUUCUCUCAAGCUGCUUCAAAUGGAGGAAGGAUUUUUAGUCUUAAGUUUCAGGCUUUUUUUAGAAGAGUGUAGGAGGCUAUCCUAGUCAGAUUGUGAAGAAUGAACUGGGCUGUGUGGCCACUGAAAGAGACUCCUGAUGAUUUAAAGUGAGAGCUUUGACUUAAAUAUACCAAUUUACCAAAAAAAGAGGUACCAGGCCACCCUCAUUUUAUCAGUCUUUCAUAAAGUUAGGGAGAUUUGGCUAUUUUGUUCUCAGUGAUUCAGUUUGAACUUGUGUUCUUAAGUUCAUGGAAAUUAUUUUAAAAGGCUACUGUAAGUAAUGAUUUUCUUUAUAAAAAGAACAGUUUUAUGAAAAUAUCACUGAAUGUGAAAUUACAGCUCUUGCCUUCUUUUUCCCAUAUGUGUUUGGAGAACUGCAUGUGCAUAUGGAGGAUGGAAUGAUUGGCAGCUUGGAAAUGGGAGAGUUCCUGACUGAACUGAGGGUUUAAUGUUGAUGAGAGCACCAGGAGUGCCACCUUCCCCCAGCCAUACCCUCAGUUACUCGGAUCAAGAGUGUCUCCUGUUGACCACAUUGAGAAUAUAUGCGCUAAAUACUGCCAGGGACACAGACCACUGCUGGAAUAAGCUGUGUUGUAACAUUCUACUAGCAGGAAAGAAUAAACAAUCCAGAAAAAGAGAAUGAACUCUUGAACAAAAACUAUGAUAAGCUGCAUAAGAUUUGAAAGAAAUCAGGUGGAUGAUCCCAGUUCUCUACAUUAAGAGUGUCUUCUGUGUGACCCAUGAACAGCAAUGGAAAUCAAAGGAACAGCAAAUGAAACUGCAAAUUGCUAAACUAGAGAUGGCUAUCAAAUCUGAUUUAGCAGACAAAAAUGCAAUCCUUGACAAGAUCAAAGUAGAAAGAGCAUAUGGGACAGGAGGUUAAACAAGAAAGGCUAGAAGAUGAUAAGGUGGAGAUGGCUGAAGAAAUUUAACAGGAGACACAAAAGCUCUCACAUCUGUCAGAGGAGCAGUUAGCUGACCAAACAUCAAUUACUUCUGGAAAGGAGAGAGAAAUAACUGAAGGAUUGGAACCAGAAGGUAGAAUUCAUCUUUAUGAAUAAGUAACUGUAUUUUGUUAAUAAAUCUAUGUCUCUUUCCAUUUUCUUAGGCAUUCCUUACUAGCAGUGGGAGCUGCCUCGUUAUGAGAAGCUCCAUGACAGAAAUUAUAUUCUGGUGUACUUUAUAGCUGAAGCUGGGUAGUGGAUAUGGUGGUGUUAUUUUCUUCCCAAAUGGAAACUGUAUCAUAAUUGAAUGCAAAAAUCUGGUAUCUGACCUAGAUUCAUAAAAUAUUAAGGGAAACCUGGCUUCUAUUUUAAAUGUCUUUAUAUUCUCCCUUAGAACUAGGCUGUUCUAAAGACCAUUUUAAUGAUUAUGCUCCUUUUGUCUGCAGAUAACAGCCAAUGCUCCUAUUGGAAAUCCUUUCAGACAGAGAGAGGGGUAGUAUGUCUUAUCAUAUUCGUGACUUAAACUUGUUAGAGGCAGAUUUAUUUAAAGAUUAUAAAAGGCAGGUCAUCCUGUUCCACCUCUGAGCUUAAACUGUUUAUCAUUGAAAUAGACCAAGUCCACAAUACCAAAUUUACAGUAAAAGCACAAACAGAAUGCUAAAAUUUCAUGUUCGUUUGUUUGCAGCUUCUGUGUAAGACUACAUUAGAAAAAUUGGAAAAAAUAUGAUGUUGAAUCCCUGUUAUGUUUAUAAGUAAUUUGCUUCAGAGGAGAAAAACCCAAAAUGCUCUGAAAUAAUCCACCUGCAUGCAGAACUAUUUUUUUCUUUUAAAAAAGGAUAAAUUAUUCUUUAUGUGUGCAUGGUGUUAAACAUAGUCAGAGGAAAUCCACAAAUUCAGGCCAUAGUUGUGUAUAAAGCUAACAGUUGUUCAUACCUCAAUCUAUCACAGGACUUCUAUCAUUCCAGUCCUCAACUUUCAUCUGGGAAGCACUGCUUUUUUAUUUUUACAAACCGGAAAAAAAUACACCUAAAUACAGUUUAGAUGACUAUAAAGGUCAUUGAUUUGCAGGGUUAAUCUUCUGCAAGGAAGAGAAGAUUUGCCUGGCAGUUAUUCUUCAUUUGUUAGUAAAGCACCUAUAUUGCUCUCAGGCUCCUCAGCAAAACUCAGAUGGACUGCAGCAAAGGGGUUUAACCACAUUGAUUCUUCCAAUGCUUUUCACAUCAAGGUGAUAGUCCUCUUGAAGCAAUAAAAUCUGACAGAAAUGACUGUAUUAUUUCAAGUCCAUUAUCCAGUAAUAUUAAACAGCUGAGUCAGAAUGUAUAUGGCAAUUAUUUGGCCAGACUAAAAAAUAUUUUAAACCUAAUGCUGUAUAAGAGUAGCUUUGCUGUAUCUAACAUCAGUUUCCUGUAAAGUUAUAUAUGUACAGUAUCAAAUCACUUCAGUGUACUUCUUUUUCUAUUAUUAUUUGUGGGCAAGUGCACUUAUCAUGUUCUCUUGAUUUAUGCUUAAAACCAGCAAUUAAUUACCACAAAGACAUAUAUAAAAAAUAAGACCACAUUAAUACAAAUUUGGAAAAUUUUCUUGGAACAGUAUUUCAGUAGAAUAGUUCUGAAAAAAAAAUAAUAAUAUUUUCUAAUCUAAAUUUGACUGAACAAUGUUAAAAAAUAUAAAACUAGUAAGUAAAAUUGAUGACAGUGCUUCUAACAGUUAAUACUUCUCUGAUCUGUCUCAGCCUUCUUUUAAAGGACCAGGGCUAUACUGUUAGAUCCUAUCAGACUUCAUGGUUUGUUAUGUGUGAUAUCCUAGAGGUAGCUUGAUUUUUUUAAAUGCUCUUUUCAAGGCUGUGAAGCAUCCUACAAAGCAACAAGAAGCAAUUCUUUGUAUGAGAAAUGUAGCUGUUCUUUGUUAAAGCUGUAGAAGAGGUUUUGAAAUGCUAUCACUCAUGUAUUCUUCAGAAAAAUGCAGAGUACUUUUGAAGAUGGAAUUGCAUUGCUUAUAUGUAUAAUUUUAGAAACAAUUGACACCUGUAAUUUUGAGAACUGAAAUUAGUGCUACUCAUCUCUAUUAAAUCCAAAUAUAAUACACUUGUUCUAUAAUUUUCUGGUCAUGUAUUUUAUCACAGUCAUUUAAGAGCUCUUUUGUGAGAACUUUGUGUAGAUUUAUUUCAGGUUCAUCAAUUUCUACUUUUCCCCAUUGAUCUGUUCAUGUGGUAACAAAAAUGCAUGUUCAUGAAGGGUAGAUGAAACAAUAAAACCUCUGAACUAUUAAGACAACAAGUAUAUUUGAUACAGAUUGGAUUUUUAGAAUAUGCAUUGGUUUAUAUGAAUUCUUGGGUUAAUUAUGGAAUACAGCAUAUCAAAAUUGUUACUGAAUUUGUAUUUUUUUAAGAUUAAAAAUCACUGCCUUUUAUCUUUUGAGAUAAAUAUCCUGCUGGUAAUCAAACAGUGUAAAUAAAACUUGUGAUUUUUGGAGAUUGUUAUGCUAAUUAUCCCCUAGAUCUGAGUUGUAUGCCAAACUGUUUAAGCCAUUUAAGAUCACACUGAGGUUUUUCUGCAUGUUGCAAAUUAGACAGUUCAUGGUUAUUUCUUAGAUAUGUUGAUCACAAAGGGUAUCUAACAGAUUUUCCACUACUUAACUGUACCACUUGCUUCUUUCUCUUUUCUUCUUGUCUAUGAUGUAUGAUUAAUCAUAGAUUACUUCAUUUUGUUUCAUUUCAUUUACAACAUUUAUGAGCUUCACUUUGUCGGUAUGAAAUGCUUGUCCCCUUCUUUCCUUUCCAAAGUGGCAUAAUUAGUGUUAGCAUCUUUUUUAACAGGCUACAUAAAGUUUAGUGGCUGGAUUAAAUCAAGUCAUUAACAUAAUGUGCUAUACAAUUUGCCCCUAUCUCUUUUCGUUUCCAGUACAUCAAAGUGCCACAGAGUGCCAGUGUAAUUGGGCCUUGCUAGCUUGUCAGGUUCAGUCAGGCUGAUGGCUGCUGCUUUUACUAAAAAGCUUCCAGGCAUGAUAAUUAAUAGAGAAAAGAAGUCUGAGAAAUGUAAAAGUUUGGACAGUUCUCUAUGAAUAUUUCAUACAUUUGAAUAAUCAGAAGUUAACAUUAUCAAUUUGAUGUAUAAUACAUUGAUUAAAAGCCUUGUUUCAGAUCCUCAAAAUAGACAUCAAAACUGGGAAUUUGCAUUUUCUUUGGCAUGGUCUUUAUAUUAAAAAAAAAAAUUAAAAAAAUCUUUUCUCUUCCAUCCCCUUCUCCUUUACACUCCCACAUCUACACCAAAUCCUUACAGGAAGUUAUAUAGCAUUCAGUUUUCACAAUAAGAUUUACUGCUGUCAACUUCCAAGUUGUCUUAAAAUGUGCCAUGAGGCAAUUACUGGCAAACCCAAUUUGUUUGGGAGUGGUUCUGGUUUUGCUCUCUUUUUUCUUGCAGAUGCCACAAGUGCAUUCUCUUGCUCUAACAGAAGUUUACUGAUAGCAGCCAUUAUCUGUACCUGUAAAUUAAGAUAUCAAGUUGUAACCAAUUUUGACAUGGAAAUCUUUCUUAAACAGCAAAAAAGCCAUACCAAGUGCUCAUGGUUCUCCUGGUGAAGGGCACAAGCUUGUGCUAAGGAAGUUGAAAAAUCUGGAUUAAAAUUAGAUCACUUGGUUUUACAAAGUCAUGAAUUACAUCAGAUGAAAGAAUACAGCAGCUGAGUAUGGAAUGCAGAUGAAACAAUUUCCCCGCAGAGGACAAUCCACUGUCAAUUCCAAAGCCAGCAGGAGCUCAGAGGAGUGACUGUAACCAUAGAACUGUGCUCAGUGAUACCCCAGAAGAUGAGCAGAACUUGAACGUGAAGAUACUGAUUAUGCUGAAUCUGUUUGAAAAAUAUAUUCCAGAAGCAAAGAAAUACCAUUGAACAAGCCAUUGGUGUAAAAACAGUACUGUCCUCUGAAGUCUGCUCUGAAGUUGACAGUUCAUUGAGUGAUUUGUUCAAGAAUAUACAAAAUGCUUUGGAUCUUUAAGAGUAGCAUCCAAUCUGUCCUAUAAUAGGUCUUUCAACAGGUUUUUGAUUCACAAGAUGACAGUGCAGUAAUUGGAAAGCUCAAAGGAGCCCUGGAAGCCCUCCACGCCUGCCCUCAGCUGAGAGGGGAAUGCAGAGAUGACUACGAGGCAUGAAAGGAAGUUUGCCUGCACAAGAGCCCUCUCCCAGUGUAAAUACAUGCUUGAUAGUGCAUCAAAGAUGAGAUCUUUGUAAUUCCUACAGUAUAUUUAAUGUAUAAUUUAUAUGAAAAGGACGCUUGAUUUGUAGUUGUAAAGUUUUGUAUACUUUUCAGUCUGUUUGUUUUUAUAUUUCCCCCCUAAGGCUAAGAAUAUCUCCACAAUGGACAAGGCCUUGUAAAUAAUUAAUACCUACAUGAUUGAACGAUGUGCUUUAUUUGCAUUUUUAAGAUUUUUUUCCUACAUAAAACAGUAAUAAAAAUGCAAGUCAAAAUUUUAAUUUUUAAUAAAAAAACCAUAAGCCUUAGAAAACUGAUUAAAAAUACUUUUAUGUUAUCCCUAAUCACCCCGUUAAAUGGAAUGCCUGUGAUUAGCCUCAUUAAGAAUUUUAUACUGUGAAGAUUUUAUUAAAAGCAAUAUAUGAAAAUUACUUGGAUUAAUGUGUUAAUCUGCCUCUUUAAAAUGCUAAUAUCCAUUUUAUGCACAUUAAAUCUCAGUAUGUGUUUUCUUUGAUGCAUGCAGUUCCUAUCAAUUAAAUAUAAAAAAUUAGGCUAGUUGCAGGACUUAUUAAAUUACUGCACCCUUUUUUAAAAUAACUUUUACCCUUCUACUAACAUUAUAAUCAGCUGUUUAUGGUUACCAUAAUUUGAAGUAGGGGGAGGGCAGGCACAAUCAUUUUCUGUACAGGAGAUGAUUUACUUGCAGCCAACAUCUGUCAAAGCACAAAAAGAAGCCAUAGACUAUCAGAUUUUGCUUCACCUACUUUGGGCUUUAGGGAUGGGCAACUGUUUUCAUUUGGGUUUUGUCACUUUUAGAACUUACAUCAAACAUAUACAAUAAAUUGUUGUAUCUGAAUAACUACUGUCUAGUGUGGAAAGUUAAUUUUACAGCUUUUAACCAAUCUCAGUGAAGGGUUUAAUUGAUAUUUUUAAUGGAGCUGUGAAUCAAUGCUGCAAAAGGAUUGUCUCUUGAGAACGAGGAUAUAAUACAUUUCAUUUUUUAAUUUACUUUUUUAUUUGUCAUUUUCUUCAAAGGAUUUUAUAGACUGGAUUUCCACUGUUUGCAAACAGGCUAUGUUUCUUCAUAAGCAUAUGUAAAGUAUUCAGAGAGAUAAGUAAUUUAUUAAAAUCUACCUAAUUUGCCGUGAUAUAUUAAAUCUCUGCUUCAGUGAUCACAGACCAUUUCAUUUAGAGAAUUAGGCAUUCCCUCUUUGUGUGAUUAAAGCUCUGGAAAAUGAGUUCUUUGCUCCUAUUUGUGAACAUUCAAAGCCUGCUAAUGGCAAGAAGAUGGAAUAGAUUAUGAGACAAUUCAUUACAGUUCAACAGAAAAAAACCCCGGCUAUAAUGCAGAAAUGCAAGUAUGAAUAUCUGCAUAUAGUUUGAACCAUCUGUGCUCUAAUGCCUUCAGUAAUGGCUCUUCGU